rnacentral:misc_RNA from 1 species
UGGUUCUGGCAUCGAUGAAGAACGCAGCGAAAUGCGAUAAGUAGUGUGAAUUGCAGAAUUCAGUGAAUCAUCGAAUCUUUGAACGCACAUUGCGCCCCAUAGUAUUCUAUAGGGCAUGCCUGUUCGAGCGUCAUGUAACGAUUCAGGCCUUGCCUGGUGUUGGGUGCUUGUCCUACGCACAAUGCGGGACUCACCUUAAAUGUCUCGGUAGCUAAUGCAGUAGCUGGAAGCUCAGCAGAUUUGAGUUGAUGGCGUCUGGUUUAGCAGCACCCUAUAAGCUUUAUCUGUACAUGUCUGACCUCGGAUCAGGUAGGGAUACCCGCUGA